rnacentral:rRNA from 1 species
AACGAACGCUGGCGGCAGGCCUAACACAUGCAAGUCGAGCGCCCCGCAAGGGGUGCGGCGGACGGGUGAGUAACGCGUGGGAAUAUGCCCUUUGCUACGGAAUAGUCUCGGGAAACUGGGGGUAAUACCGUAUACGCCCUUUGGGGGAAUGAUUUAUCGGCGAAGGAUUAGCCCGCGUUGGAUUAGGUAGUUGGUGGGGUAAUGGCCGACCAAGCCGACGAUCCAUAGCUGGUUUGAGAGGAUGAUCAGCCACACUGGGACUGAGACACGGCCCAGACUCCUACGGGAGGCAGCAGUGGGGAAUCUUAGACAAUGGGGGCAACCCUGAUCUAGCCAUGCCGCGUGAGUGAUGAAGGGCUUAGGGUUGUAAAGCGCUUUCAGCUGGGAAGAUAAUGACGGUACCAGCAGAAGAAGCCCCGGCUAACUCCGU